rnacentral:sRNA from 1 species
CUCCCUACGGCCUGUCUCGGGAAUGCCGCAACUCCUGAGCCCCGUGGGGCGGCUGGUCCGGACGCGGAUAGAGUGGCCUCUUCGACAUGCCGCUCCGGACCAGCCACUUA